rnacentral:lncRNA from 1 species
UGUGGCUCAAGUGGUAGCGCAUUCGCCUUGCAUACGUGAGGCACUGGGUUCGAUCCUCAGCACCAUAUAAAAAAAAAUAAGUGAAAUAAAGGAUGCUGUUCCAUCUACAAUUAAAAAAUAAAUAUUUUUUAAAAUAUCUAAUUUAAUGUUGGAAAAAAUGAAGCUGUUGCGUGACGGCAGCACAUGUGUUGGAAAUGUAUAAUUGUACCUAAAGCAUUUUAAGGUUCUGACCAUCUUCAGGGGGAUGUUGAAGUAUUAACCUAAUACUGGAUAAGCAUGCAUGUCAAAAUGUCUAAGGUAGUCAAGAAUAAACAAGAUGAAAAGAAGGUCAUUUUCUAAAUACUCUAAGGAACAAAUGAAAUGAGUGAAAGAAAAGACAAAAAACCCCAAAGAAGGAAGAAAAGAAAACACAUAGAGAAAAGACAAAUAAAAAACCUAAAAGAAUACGAUAAAAUCCAAACUAAUUUAAAUGAACUAGCACAACAAAUUUAAAUGGACUAAAAUUUGAUAGAGAGAAGACCAAUAUUGUCAGUUUUCUUUUAAACCAGAGGUAUACCAUUUAUAAGAGGUUACCUUAAACAAACGACAGAAAAUGUUUGGAAGUAAAAAAUAUUGAUUGGAAAUAUAGAAAGAGAAAUAGGGUGGUUUGUACUUGUAAUCCUGGCUACUCGGGAGGAGGAUCAAAAAUUUCAGGCUGACCUCAGCAGCUUGAUGAGAAAGAAAAUAAAUUAAAAAGGCAGGGAAGUAGCUCAAUGGUAAAAUGUCUCUGAGUUCAAUCCCCAGUACAGCAAUUAAAAACAAAAAGAGAGGAAG